GACGAACGCUGGCGGCGUGCUUAACACAUGCAAGUCGAACGGAAAGGCCCUGCUUUUGUGGGGUGCUCGAGUGGCGAACGGGUGAGUAACACGUGAGUAACCUGCCCUUGACUUUGGGAUAACUUCAGGAAACUGGGGCUAAUACCGGAUAGGAGCUCCUGCUGCAUGGUGGGGGUUGGAAAGUUUCGGCGGUUGGGGAUGGACUCGCGGCUUAUCAGCUUGUUGGUGGGGUAGUGGCUUACCAAGGCUUUGACGGGUAGCCGGCCUGGGAGGGUGACCGGCAACAUUGGGACUGAGAUACGGCCCGGACUCCUACGGGAGGCAGCAGUGGGGAAUAUUGCACAAUGGGCGGAAGCCUGAUGCAGCAACGCCGCGUGCGGGAGGACGGCCUUCGGGUGUUAAACCGCUUUCGCCGGUGACGAAGCGUGAGUGACGGUAAUGGGUAAAGAAGCACCGGCUAACUACGUG
rnacentral:rRNA from 1 species